rnacentral:lncRNA from 1 species
CUAUUUCCACCCCCUCAGCCCACUCCAGCUCUGGGUGGAACGAUCCAGUAACUGUUUUGCUGGUUUUCUUCUUUGUUUUAUGUCCAACUAUAUGUGCUUCAAGUAUACUUUCAUCAGUGUACUACAGAUGAAUUUAUCUUGCUCAAACUCAUUUGUAUAAUAAUAAAAAUAAUGUAUCUUUACAUAGUUUAUAACAGGAAAUGUAUGCUUUGCUUUCUUUCACUAGCCAAUGAAAAUAAGUUGAUUCCUCAUAAUUUUCCUCUGGCCUUGAUCCUCAGGAAUCCCAGAGUAUUUAAAGAUGACUUUCUUCCCUUCGAGAAUGACUUCAAGUGCUUUGUUUUUGCCAUUUGCUGCUUGGAAUACGGUUUCCUCAUCUUAUCCCAAAGGGUGAGAAUCUAAGUUUCAAGUUUCCUUGAUUGCUACCUCUGUCAUAAAGCCUUUCAUAAGGUCCUCCAACUGCAUGUGAUUUUCAGUUCUUCUGAACUACCAGAAAAUUGUUUUGCUCAUCUCUUGGAACUCUUGAUAUGCUCAAAUAGUACUUACCUCUUUCUCUGUCUUACACUCUUACUCAAGCACCAGUGAAGGUAUAGUUUCGCAUUUAGCACGAAAAUUUACCACUAUUAGAGCUCACAAUGGCUAGUAAAUGAGUUGAUUUGAAUGUAAUUCAACACUGGCCAACACUGCUGCAGUAAAGACAAAGAGGAUGCCAUUCAUGCCAUUCAUGCUUACUAGCAUAAUCUUUAGUAAACUUUAAUCUUUUUUUUAAAUAACUCACUUUAGAUAUUUAAUAAAUAUACAUAAAUUUAAUAUCCA